GAGAAUACCCAUAGACCUUGCCCAACUCUGCUCGUGGCUAAGCAGAGGGAUAGUGAAUGCAAGAAUAAUUUGGAGUUCAUGCCAGCUCUAGUCAGCUUAAUCAGUAGCUGAAUAAAUUGCAAUACUCCUACAUUC